rnacentral:misc_RNA from 1 species
GAUGAAGAACGUAGCGAAAUGCGAUAAGUAAUGUGAAUUGCAGAAUUCAGUGAAUCAUCGAAUCUUUGAACGCACAUUGCGCCCGCUAGUAUUCUGGCGGUCAUGCCUGUCCGAGCGUCAUUUCAACCCUCAAGCCCCCGGGCUUGGUGUUGGGGAUCGGCGAGCCUCCGCGCCCGCCGUCCCCUAAAUCUAGUGGCGGUCUCGCUGUAGCUUCCUCUGCGUAGUAGCACACCUCGCACUGGGAAACAGCGCGGCCACGCCGUUAAACCCCCAACUUCUGAACGUUUGACCUCGGAUCAGGUAGGAAUACCCGCUGAACUUAAGCAUAUCAAUAAGCGGAGGA